AAAAUUUUGGUCCUGGACUUACUGUUAUUUACUCCAAGCCUAUACAUGCAAGCCUCCGCACUCCAGUGAAACACUCCGGUAUCAGGGACUUCCCUAAGACACCAAGCCACGCCACGUCCACACGGAAUAGCAGCAGUAACCGACAUUGGGCCAUAAGCACACGCUUGACCAGACUACGGAAAACUCGGGCCGGCAAAUUUAUGUGCCAGCCGCCGCGGUUACACUGAAGGCCCAAAAUAACAUCACCGGCAAAAAUGGCUAAAAGUUUCCAACCACUAAGAAUGAACCAAAGCUAACACGUGAAACAAUACCAAACAGACAACCAAAAAUCUUACAUUAUAGGGCCCUUUGACCCAUAAAAGUCAGGACACAAACUAGGAUUAGAUACCCUACUAUGCCUCACUGCAAAUCAUCCCGCCAAAUAAGUACAAGCACAGCUUUAAACUUCAAGGACCUGGCGGUACUCUACAUCAGCCUAGAGGGGCCUGUCCCUUAACCGACAACCCGCGAAAGACCCAACCUAUUCUAGCCUACCAAGCCUAUAUACCGCCGUCCCCAGCACAUUUUACAAAAAAUGCAGCUAAAAAGCCCCACACUAAUACGUCAGGUCAAGGUGUAGCACAUGAAUAGGACAAGAUUGGCCACAGUAUCACACCACACCCAACCUACAAUGAAACAUGUAGAAAAUAACGGAUUUAGUAGUAAGAGAACUAAGAACGCCUCCCUGAAACCGAACCCACCACAGCCCUUGAGUACGCACACACCGCCCGUCAUCCCCUCUAACUAAUAUGGGGGGCAAGUCGUAACAUGGUAAGUGCACCAGAAGGUGUACUUAGAAGA
rnacentral:ncRNA from 1 species